UGCUCAAUAUGUUCACAAUGCACUGAGAACGCUACUGCUCAAUAUGUUCACAAUGCACUGAGAACGCUACUGCUCAAUAUGUUCACAAUGCACUGAGUGCUGAGUGGAAACAUGAUGUCCAUUCUUUUGCUUGUAUAACAGCUUUGUGAUACUCUACAACAGGAAGCAACACAUUCCUUCUCUUCUCAUCCUUUAUCAAUGGGACACUCAGCCAGGGGCAGAAACAGAGGGGUGGGUGGGGAUGUUAAGAUGGUAUUAACGUCCACCCCUGAAGUCCCCGGGACCGAGUUUGGGAAACACUGAUAUAAAGAAUAGUGUGCUAUUUGGGACGCCAGCAGUUCCUAAUCAGUGUUUUGGUGUUCUGCCACUAACCAGUAUGUUCCUGAUAAUCAGUGUUAUGGUGUUCUGCUACUAACCAGUAUGUUCUUGAUAAUCAGUGUUUUGGUGUUCUGCCAGUAACCAGCCACUUUGAUGGAAUAAAUAUAGCUUUGGAGGACUGUCCUGUGCUGAGCACUCAAGAUUAUCCAUCCUGUGAUAGUGGCGCACUAUGCCCCUCCCAUGAGUAUGGUAGUAUGGAAAUGCAAUGUGGUUGUAUCGCCCCCUUGUGGUUGAGUUAAGUAAGUGCUGUGGCGGAGCAGAGUUGAGCCAGUGAAUGAGUUGAUUUAUGUAAUAGUGGAGAUUGUGUGUGAGCUGAGGAGUUGGACAUUUUUUUUCCCUCAGUUAAUGCUGGAUCAAUCGUUCUUCCUCAGAGGUUGUACUUUCUUCACAUUAUUGUUUUCAUCAUAUUUGUUUUAUUUAUGAUCCUCUCUGUAGUCGUCAUUAUUUAAUAUUAUGGAUAUUUACAAAUAUUUUAUUGUAUUUGUUAUAUCAUUUUGUACUAGGUACAUUUAAUUGUUAUUAGAGUUUGCCCUAAACUGAUUAUUUUUUGUUCAGGUUUGUAUGAGACCACUUCAUUUUUAGGAUUCUAGUAUACACUUUGAAGUUAAACAUCUUGGUCACGUUCCAGGCCCACUACAUUGUAGGCGUGGCAAAGCUGAUAUCUGGCAUCUGCAAUGUCGUCGUUCUGGAACGCAGACAUUUUUUUAUUAUUUUUAUUUAUUUUACCUUUAUUUAACCAGGCAAGUCAGUUAAGAACAAAUUCUUAUUUUCAAUGACGGCCUAGGAACAGUGGGUUAACUGCCUUGUUCAGGGGGCAGAACGACAGAUUUGUACCUUGUCAGCUCGGGGAUUUGAACUUGCAACCUUCCGGUCACUAGUCCAACGCUCUAACCACUAGGAUACCCUGCCGUCCCUACACUCUAACCACUAGGAUACCCUGCCACCCCCAUUGACUGACGCAUAGCUUUGCCUUGAAGAUGUAUUUGACUUGUCUUUUGCCUUGCAGUUUCUCCUCUCUACAUGAUAAUUUGGUUUGACUGUGUAAAUACUUCUGUUUUUCCUGUGUUUAUCUGAUCUUUUUGUAUUUGAACUGUUAAACUGGAAUAGAUCACCUGUUUUAUUAUUUAUUUACUGAGUUCAUUGUUAGAAGAGAAAGUGACAAAGUUAAUUUAAAAAAUGCUUAAGUUAAUGGAGGAAUCUGUCGUCUCUUCGUCUCUCCCGAGCCCGUACGGGAGUUGUAGCGAUGAGACAAGAUAGUAGCUACUACAACAUUUGGAUACCACGAAAUUUGUUCUUAACUGACUUGCCUAGUUAAAUAAAGGUUAAAGAAAUAUGGCUCUGUCAUACACCACAUUUUUUGUUUUUGUUGUCAUAGGUUACGUAGCUAAAAUGCUUAGUAGCCUAAUUUCCUGGCAUGGGCAACAAUGAACCAGCUAAGUUAGCUAGCUAGUUUAACGUGCGACUACUAGGUUACAUAUUGAACUUCAAUCGUCUCAGGCCAGUGGCACAACAUUAUCAAUUUAUGGUUAGAUCAGCAUCGCCGUUAUAAUCAUUGGCCUGUACAGAGAAUUAAGUCAAAUCCACAUCUCCAUCCAUGGCUUACGAAAGGGACAAUUUAGCAAGCUAGCUACUGCAGGACAUCAACACAAGCAGACCAGAAACAGACAAGUUUUUUUGAAAAUGACAUUUUGCUUAGGAAGUGAUUUGAUUGGUGUGAAGCCAAAUCCAAACUGGCUUCCCCUGGGAGGCGUUUUGCUGCACCAGGACAACCUAUAGUUAAGCUAGGCUCAAUGCUGAUUGGCUAAUUGUAUUAUUAUUUUUAAUCAAGGGAGGCCAAAUGUUUGCUGGCAUCAAUCAAUCAAACGCUACGGCGGCAACAUGUGAUACUCUUUUGGUCCAGACAGCAUCAGAUACAUGAGCUACACAUACCGAGACAGAGGGGGCGCUGUUUCCCUGUCCAGACAGCAUCAGAUACAUGAGCUACACAUACCGAGACAGAGGGGGCGCUGUUUCCCUGUCCAGACAGCAUCAGAUACAUGAGCUACACAUACCAAGACAGAGGGGGCGCUGUUUCACUGUCCAGACAGCAUCAGAUACAUGAGCUACACAUACCGAGACAGAGGGGGCGCUGUUUCCCUGUCCAGACAGCAUCAGAUACAUGAGCUACACAUACCGAGACAGAGGGGGCGCUGUUUCCCUCGCUCGGAUGACUUCUCCGGUGAGAUUCAGCCACUUGCUAAUUGACAAAAAAAAUAUGAAAACACAAGAGACUUAAGAUAAAUAUAUAUUUUUAAAUGCAUUGGUAAAAUAUUUGGAGAAGCUUGGCAUCCACAAAUACACACCACUGAUUCUUAACC
ensembl:lncRNA